AAAUUGAAGAGUUUGAUCAUGGCUCAGAUUGAACGCUGGCGGCAGGCCUAACACAUGCAAGUCGAGCGGUAGCACAGAGAGCUUGCUCUCGGGUGACGAGCGGCGGACGGGUGAGUAAUGUCUGGGAAACUGCCUGAUGGAGGGGGAUAACUACUGGAAACGGUAGCUAAUACCGCAUAAUGUCGCAAGACCAAAGUGGGGGACCUUCGGGCCUCAUGCCAUCAGAUGUGCCCAGAUGGGAUUAGCUAGUAGGUGGGGUAACGGCUCACCUAGGCGACGAUCCCUAGCUGGUCUGAGAGGAUGACCAGCCACACUGGAACUGAGACACGGUCCAGACUCCUACGGGAGGCAGCAGUGGGGAAUAUUGCACAAUGGGCGCAAGCCUGAUGCAGCCAUGCCGCGUGUGUGAAGAAGGCCUUCGGGUUGUAAAGCACUUUCAGCGGGGAGGAAGGCGGUGAGAUUAAUAACCUCAUCGAUUGACGUUACCCGCAGAAGAAGCACCGGCUAACUCCGUGCCAGCAGCCGCGGUAAUACGGAGGGUGCAAGCGUUAAUCGGAAUUACUGGGCGUAAAGCGCACGCAGGCGGUCUGUCAAGUCGGAUGUGAAAUCCCCGGGCUCAACCUGGGAACUGCAUUCGAAACUGGCAGGCUAGAGUCUUGUAGAGGGGGGUAGAAUUCCAGGUGUAGCGGUGAAAUGCGUAGAGAUCUGGAGGAAUACCGGUGGCGAAGGCGGCCCCCUGGACAAAGACUGACGCUCAGGUGCGAAAGCGUGGGGAGCAAACAGGAUUAGAUACCCUGGUAGUCCACGCCGUAAACGAUGUCGAUUUGGAGGUUGUGCCCUUGAGGCGUGGCUUCCGGAGCUAACGCGUUAAAUCGACCGCCUGGGGAGUACGGCCGCAAGGUUAAAACUCAAAUGAAUUGACGGGGGCCCGCACAAGCGGUGGAGCAUGUGGUUUAAUUCGAUGCAACGCGAAGAACCUUACCUGGUCUUGACAUCCACAGAACUUUCCAGAGAUGGAUUGGUGCCUUCGGGAACUGUGAGACAGGUGCUGCAUGGCUGUCGUCAGCUCGUGUUGUGAAAUGUUGGGUUAAGUCCCGCAACGAGCGCAACCCUUAUCCUUUGUUGCCAGCGGUCCGGCCGGGAACUCAAAGGAGACUGCCAGUGAUAAACUGGAGGAAGGUGGGGAUGACGUCAAGUCAUCAUGGCCCUUACGACCAGGGCUACACACGUGCUACAAUGGCAUAUACAAAGAGAAGCGACCUCGCGAGAGCAAGCGGACCUCAUAAAGUAUGUCGUAGUCCGGAUUGGAGUCUGCAACUCGACUCCAUGAAGUCGGAAUCGCUAGUAAUCGUAGAUCAGAAUGCUACGGUGAAUACGUUCCCGGGCCUUGUACACACCGCCCGUCACACCAUGGGAGUGGGUUGCAAAAGAAGUAGGUAGCUUAACCUUCGGGAGGGCGCUUACCACUUUGUGAUUCAUGACUGGGGUGAAGUCGUAACAAGGUAACCGUAGGGGAACCUGCGGUUGGAUCACCUCCUUACCUUAAAGAA
rnacentral:rRNA from 2 species